rnacentral:rRNA from 1 species
AUUUCAUUCAAAUAAAAUAAACUAAUUUAAAAAAUAUCUGGUCCUUUCGUACUAAAAUAUUUUAAAU